GCAGGCGGUUCGCUUUGACAGAUGUGAAAUCCCCGGGCUUAACCUGGGAAUCGCAUUUGUGACUGGCGGGCUAGAGUAUGGCAGAGGGGGGUAGAAUUCCGCGUGUAGCAGUGAAAUGCGUAGAGAUGUGGAGGAAUACCGAUGGCGAAGGCAGCCCCCUGGGCCAAUACUGACGCUCAUGCACGAAAGCGUGGGGAGCAAACAGGAUUAGAUACCCUGGUAGUCCACGCCCUAAACGAUGUCAACUAGUUGUCGGGUCUUCAUUGACUUGGUAACGUAGCUAACGCGUGAAGUUGACCGCCUGGGGAGGACGGUCGCAAGA
rnacentral:rRNA from 1 species